rnacentral:rRNA from 1 species
GUGUCAGCAGCCGCGGUAAUACGGAGGAUCCAAGCGUUAUCCGGAUUUAUUGGGUUUAAAGGGUGCGUAGGCGGGAUAGUAAGUCAGUGGUGAAAGCCCGCAGCUCAACUGCGGAACUGCCAUUGAUACUGCUAACCUUGAGUAUGUAUGAUGUGGGCGGAAUGUGCAGUGUAGCGGUGAAAUGCUUAGAUAUUGCACAGAACACCAAUUGCGAAGGCAGCUCACAAAAACAUAACUGACGCUGAGGCACGAAAGCGUGGGGAUCAAACAGGAUUAGAUACCCUGGUAGUCC